rnacentral:rRNA from 1 species
UACGUACUGUGCGAACGUUAUUCGGAAUCACUGGGCUUAAAGGGUGCGUAGGCGGCCAAUUAAGUAGGGUGUGAAAGGUUACGGCUCAACCGUGACAUUGCGCUCUAGACUGAUUGGCUCGAGUGAGAUAGGGGUGUGCGGAACUUCCAGUGGAGCGGUGAAAUGUGUUGAUAUUGGAAGGAACGCCGGUGGCGAAAGCGGCACACUGGGUCUUAACUGACGCUGAGGCACGAAAGCCAGGGGAGCGAACAGG